GGUUUAAUCAGAUUAAGUAGUGAUUAUUAAAUGGUCUAGCUCCAUUUUUGGAAAAACUGAAUAUUCAGGGUUGUAGCAGUUAACGUGCAUGGUAACAUUGUGUAAAUACAAGGAGUAAUAAGAUUGCUAUUUUGGAGUUAAGAAAAACGUUCCUAUUUUGUGGCCUAAUAAGAAAUUCCAAAUAGGGGAUUUCAUCGUCUUUU